ensembl:lncRNA
CUGCCCUUUAAACACAUUACUGCUUGAUUUUAUUGAUGCUUCUGGGUUUUUUAACCUUUCCGUGCCUCUGUUUCCCUGCCUAUAAAUUACUUGUCAUCCUUUUGGGUUAUUGAGGACUGUUUAGCUAUAAUGUAGAAAAUGCUGUCAAGGUAAGGUGCCAAGUGAAUACAAACUAUUUUAUUUUUAGUGCCUUUUGAAUUCUUGGACUUUUUGUUCUCCCUUUUAUCUGUCUCUCUUUUUAAUCACACAAAAUGGAAAGAAACCCAAUCACAGCUGUUGCUGGAGAAGAAUCAUUAGGCUCAUCCAGCUGGCUCUCCUGGGGCCAAUGUGGGUUGUGUGGAGUGAUGAAGGGUCUUUCACUUCUGACAGCUCUCUUCAUUGAUCCAAGUGGGAAGGGCUAUUUUUAGGUAAAUGGACAUCAGGCAAUGCUGAAAGAGAGCUGGGUUAUUUUUGGAAACCCAUCAGCAACAGUUUUGGCGGGUCCUAAUGCAAAUUUUGUCUUUGGUUGGGCUGUCUCACUUUGUAGGAUCAGUUUCCAAGGACGUGGGGGUGAUUUGUUGAGCUUGUUUUGCAGUCUGAAUCUGGGGGAUUCAUUCCCAGUAAACCAAGUGGUGACAGAGCUGAAGGCCUUGGGGCAGAGGAUGAAGCUCCACGUGUGGAGUCUGCCUGGAGUUGGGAUAAACCCAUAGAGAUGCCCUCUUGAAGGAGCAUACAGAAGACUUGGUGCUGGUAGUGGCCAUGCUGCAGUGUUGAGUGUGCACUACCCCUUGCUUCAGUGGGCUGCAGAAGGAUGAUGGCAUCUUCUCAGUUUUCCUCAUCCUUUUUCAGAAGGGUUUUGGGGCAGCUCCUGUCUCAUGCUGACUUGGUGCCCAGAGCUUGCCUAUAUCGUGCAGGUGGGAGCCUGGGGGCAAUGGCCAGGUCUGUGCCUUUGUUACUCAGAGAGCCGGAAAAGCCCAAUCAGAAAACGUUGUGGAUGUGAUGUAGUAGAAAAUGGAAGCAAAUAGCAUCUGAUACUGUUUCCUGACAGAGGUGAAAAAUCAAUUGGGCUUUUUGGCAGAAUUCCUGCUCUCCUGGGGUGGUUUUCUUUUGUGAUGUUUUUUUUCUUUUCUUACCUGUAUGGAUCUCUAAUGGCACUUUCCUGGCCAUGUCCAUGGGGUGCCUGUAGAGCGGGACUGAUUGGUAAUUUCCUCCAAGUUCCUGAUGAUCCAGCACUGGGAAGGGGAAUGUGAUUCUGAAGCAGGCUUAAAUUGUAAAGCAUGUUCGGAUCUGCUAAGCAACAGCAUUGACACGUUUAAAUAAAUCUGCUGUUGAGUAAUACAGAGUGACAUAUUGAGAGCAAUUAAAAAAAACAACACAGCACAAAUUUGGGAAAUGACUGGAAUGGAAACAGAGCAUAGAGGACGUUGGAUAAAGGAGAGGGAGAGCUACUCCACAAAAGGAGUGUGAUGGAGGACAAGAAUAGCCAUCGGGAGGGGUGAGACAGUAGUGGGAGUGUGCGUUGAUGCUGAAAUUGGCUCUUGGCAGUAGGGCCCUUGUGGUGGGACUUCUCUGCCAAUGCUGAUGGUCAUAAGGAUUGAAGAGAUCUUACUGCCUAGUUCAGAAAGGAGCACGUGGAGGGACAUCACACAGAGAGAGGGACUGGAAGGUGCUGUUUGCAUUCCUGCAGCUUUCUUACUGUGUGCUGAGUGCGGUCCGACUUCUGUUGUACCCAUCACUGCAGAGCUGUGCAACGCUGCAUCGGUGAAGGAACAUGCAGGUGGAAUUCAGAGGUUUUGUAUUUGGAGCUGAUGAGAGAAAUUAACUUGCAGAGCUCAGCUGUGGAAUGCCUUGCUGCAAGAAGCUGUGCAGCCAAGUGUUUGUGGUAGUUCUCCUUUAUUACCCUUCUUAUUCUUUAAACAGUUAAGACUUUGUACUGAUAAGAAUGUAUGUGAUUGAUUGCUCCAGAGAAGCAUUUUGGUGAGAAGCUCUCUUCUUCAAGGACUCAUACAACUCUUAUUUGCUGGUGAUUAGGGAAAAAUUGUUCUGAAUCAGCUGUUCUGUGAUUAUGAUGUAUGAGUAUUUGACACCAAAGCAGCUGGAAAUGGGCACUUAGGAGUCAGGCCUAAUACAGCCAUCUUUGUGCUUCUUUAUUAUUUUACUGGAGGCUGUACAGUGGUCACAUGGAGUUGUGGUUUUUGUGGCUAUCUUAAUGACUUUGUUCCAAGCUGAUGCCUCGUGUCUGUCUGUAUAGGAUGGUCACAGCAGGGUUAGUGGCUCUGCUGUUGAGC